GACGAACGCUGGCGGCGUGCUUAACGCAUGCAAGUCGAACGGAAAGGCCCUGCUUGCUUGGUGUUCGGGUGGCGAACGGGUGAGUAACACGUGGGUGAACUGCCCCCUACUUUGUGAUAAGCCUUGGAAACUGGGUCCAUUCCCGGAUACGACCAUCCUGCAGGUGGUGUGGUGGGGAGAUCUUCUUCGGUUGGGGGUGAGCUCGCGGCCUAUCAGCGUUUUGGUGGGGUAGUGGCCGACCACGGCGUCGACGGGGAGCCGGCCUGAGAGGGUGGAAGGCCACAUUGGGACUGAGAUGGGACGCAGAAGCCUACGGGAGGCGGCAGUGGGGGAUAUUGCGGAACAGGCGCAAGCCUGAUGCAGCGACGGCGCGUGGGGGGUGACGGCCUUCGGGUGGUAAACAAAUGUCGGCGAUGACGAAGCCGUUGUGGUGACGGUAGUGGAAGAAGAAGCACCGGCUAACUACGUG
rnacentral:rRNA from 1 species